ensembl:lncRNA
GUGGAUUCUUUACCAGCUGAGCCACAAUGGAAGCCCUCUUUAGGGGAGGGAGCUGGGAAAGCUUUAGGACCAUCAUAGCCAAGUUCGGGGCAGCCUAUUCACUGCUGGUGAGGGUUCAUCCUCUAUGAUCCAGAAGCUCCGUGGGGAAGAGGCAGGGCAGGACCUGCAUUGAUCUCGGAAAACUGAAGUCAGAAGUCAACACCUCCUCUGUCUAGGAUGAAGGGCAGGUGCUACCUUCUGGACGGGCCCACAUGGCAAGGAGAAUCCAGGUGCUGGUCCUUUAUAUAAGCACCCAGAGCCCUGUGAGCCCUGCAGCCAUCUCCCAGCAACACCUCCUUUGCCACCUCAGAACUCCCACCCAGAACGCCUCUAAGAGCUCAGGCUCAAUCAUAACAACCCCAAAAGUGACCCCAGCACACCUCAGAUCCUGCAAGUGCAAAUGCUUGUAAAGGUGCCUGGGGUUGGAGGGUGAAAGGCUGGAAGAUGAAAAACAUCUUUGCUACCUUCCUUUCCCAAAGACUCCUGAGUUACAGGCAGGGAGCCCUGAGGGAAAGGGGUGCUGCUCUGGCUCCAUGUCCUCGGGAGUUCCCUGCACUGAGUCCUUGAAAGUGAUCCCUUCUUCUGGGGGAAAAGGCAUUAUGGUGAUUUAACCCGGUCUCAACUGAAUUCCCUGGUCCUGAGCAUGUGGCUGCCUCCAGAGAAGUUAGGCUCCUGACCCCUCUCAUUCUCCCUGUGACUCUUCACGGCAGCUCACUAGGUCAAGACUCCAUCAUCAAGUCUGCUAGUUCUGCCAGAGCCUGCCUCAUAACAGAGACUGGAAUUUACGCAAGGUAGUGAGGGAUGAUCUUCACUGGCCUUAAUUCCAUCUUAAUUAUGUUUGCCAUUCAAGCACGUUAGUCAUUCCAAGGGAGAAACAGCAGAGGCGGGAGUCCUUAUCCUGCCCAUUCCCUGACAACGCAUUGCCGUGGAGUGUUGCAAAAACGCUGCAGAAGCAACGAGAUGACAGCCCAUUGGCUGUUCCAGGCCUGAAGUCUACCUUCCUACUGGAUGGUUUUGCCAAAAGAACCCUUGUGUGCUCCUAAUUGGUUUCACACACAUCCCUUGCCUCCUAGUACAAUUGUUACCCAUUUGGGCUAUCCUUUUACAGAUGCCCUUUGAUUGAAAGUGUUUUGUAUUUUUUUAUAGAACGGUAAUAAUGGCUAAUGUUGAGCAUUUACCAUAUGCUAGCCACUCUAGUGGAGAAGGCAAUGGCACCCCACUCCAGUACUCUUGCCUGGAAAAUCCCAUGGA